AAACCCUAGAUGAAUGACCUUCAAAUGUCUCACCGAUUUGUAGACUGUAGCCACCAAUCAUCGACGAAAUUGCAGGUUUCAGUAGGCAUUAUCUCAGCUCUCCAAAGCAAUCGUUUCUCUUCACUGCGUCGUGUACGAAACCGGUCAGAUGAAGGAUUCCGAUGAAGAUAAUCGAAGAAGACGAUGAUGGUGAUGAAGAUGUUACAGUAGAUUGAUGAACACCACUUCGCAAAUGGCGAGUUCGAAAGACGAUUCAGCCUCUGAUACCGCCAAUUUUGCCACCAAUCACCGCCGCACUAACUCCAACACCAAGUUCUUCUCCAACGGCGAGAGAGUUCUCGCUUAUCACGGUCCCGUAUCUACGAAGCAAAGCUAUGGAGAGUUGAAUCGAAUCGAGAUAAUGAGGACUGUGUUAGAAUACAUUCAGCAGAACUAUAUGUUAUUGUUUGAAGUAUUCUUAUGAGAUUGGUUUCGAUUACUUUAUUCAGUUUAUCUGGCUUUAUGUCGGCUAGGUUGAAGCUAUUGUGAUGCCCAAAGAUUACAGGCCAAAAAGUUUACAGAUUUGAUUGAGUUGCCUAAGUAAUUUUGUGAAAGAAGUUACGGAUGAUGAUAAGUUGAGAGGGAUUGUGAGGUGUCGAUUUAGGAAUGGGUGCAGCAAACAGAGAUGGCUUUGUGGAAUCAAGUCGGGUCACCAGAAAGGGUGUGUUUGGAAGUGUUGGCAGGAGAAUAUGGCGGAGAAGAUGACUUGGUUGUUAAGGUCACAACAUCAUUGGCUUGAAGGUUAUUUAGUAAGAAAGGAGGAAGGGAAAGGAUAUAUAUAUUAUAUGCAAGGAUGACACCCGAUAGUUCUAGACGUCCGGGUGAGUUCAUAUGACUCCAAAAGUCCAACUUAUAUGACAUUAAUCAUAUAGGUAAUCAUAUGGUGCAACUUAUUUGAACUUAUAGUUUAUUGUAGAAGUAUAUUAAUAUGUCUG
rnacentral:lncRNA from 1 species